AUUGAACGCUGGCGGCAGGCCUAACACAUGCAAGUCGAGCGAGCGGCGGACGGGUGAGUAAUGCCUGGGAAUUGCCCAGUCGAGGGCGAAAACAGUUGGAAACGACUGCUAAUACCGCAUACGAUUGGAUUGCCCAGGUGGGAUUAGCCGGUUGGUGAGGUAAUGGCUCACCAAGGUGACGAUCCCUAGCUGGCCUGAGAGGAUGAUCAGCCACACUGGAAGUGGAAAACGGUCAGAACUCCAACGGGAGGCGGAAGUGGGAAAUAUUGCACAAUGGGGGAAGCCCUAAUGCAGACAGGCCGCGUGUGUGAAGAAGGCCUUCGGGUUGAAAGGCACUUUAAGCGAGGAGGCGUUACUCGCAGAAAAAGCACCGGCUAACUACGUGCCAGCAGCCGCGGUAAUUC
rnacentral:rRNA from 1 species